rnacentral:rRNA from 1 species
GAUGAACGCUGGCGGCGUGCCUAAUACAUGCAAGUCGAGCGAACAGAUGAGGAGCUUGCUCCUCUGACGUUAGCGGCGGACGGGUGAGUAACACGUGAAUAACCUACCUAUAAGACUGGGAUAACUUCGGGAAACCGGAGCUAAUACCGGAUAAUAUAUUGAACCGCAUGGUUCAAUAGUGAAAGACGGUUUUGCUGUCACUUAUAGAUGGAUCCGCGCCGCAUUAGCUAGUUGGUAAGGUAACGGCUUACCAAGGCGACGAUGCGUAGCCGACCUGAGAGGGUGAUCGGCCACACUGGAACUGAGACACGGUCCAGACUCCUACGGGAGGCAGCAGUAGGGAAUCUUCCGCAAUGGGCGAAAGCCUGACGGAGCAACGCCGCGUGAGUGAUGAAGGUCUUCGGAUCGUAAAACUCUGUUAUUAGGGAAGAACAAAUGUGUAAGUAACUAUGCACGUCUUGACGGUACCUAAUCAGAAAGCCACGGCUAACUACGUG